AUUGAACGCUGGCGGCAUGCCUUACACAAGCAAGUCGAACGGUAACGGGCCUUCGGGUGCCGACGAGUGGCGAACGGGUGAGUAAUGUAUCGGAACGUACCUUUCAGUGGGGGAUAACGUAGCGAACGUUACGCUAAUACCGCAUAUUCUGUGAGCAGGAAAGCAGGGGAUCGCAAGACCUUGCGCUGAUUGAGCGGCCGAUAUCAGAUUAGCUAGUUGGUGAGGUAAAAGCUCACCAAGGCGACGAUCUGUAGCGGGUCUGAGAGGAUGAUCCGCCACACUGGAACUGAGACACGGUCCAGACUCCUACGGGAGGCAGCAGUGGGGAAUUUUGGACAAUGGGGGCAACCCUAAUCCAGCCAUGCCGCGUGAGUGAAGAAGGCCUUCGGGUUGUAAAGCUCUUUCGGCCGGGAAGAAAUCGUAUCAGCUAAUACCUGGUGCGGAUGACGGUACCGGCAUAAGAAGCACCGGCUAACUACGUGCCAGCAGCCGCAGUAAUAC
rnacentral:rRNA from 1 species